rnacentral:rRNA from 1 species
UGGGGAAUCUUGGGCAAUGGGGGAAACCCUGACCCAGCAACGCCGCGUGAAGGAUGAAGUAUUUCGGUAUGUAAACUUCGAAAGAAUAGGAAGAAUAAAUGACGGUACUAUUUAUAAGGUCCGGCUAACUACGUGCCAGCAGCCGCGGUAAUACGUAGGGACCAAGCGUUGUUCGGAUUUACUGGGCGUAAAGGGCGCGUAGGCGGCAUGACAAGUCACUUGUGAAAUCUCUGGGCUUAACCCAGAACGGCCAAGUGAUACUGUCGCGCUAGAGUGCAGAAGGGGCAAUCGGAAUUCUUGGUGUAGCGGUGAAAUGCGUAGAUAUGUGGAGGAAUACCGAUGGCGAAGGCAGCCCCCUGGGAUAACACUGACGCUCAUGCACGAAAGCGUGGGGAGCAAACAGGAUUAGAUACCCGAGUAGUCCCUGAGCGGGCUGGCAAGGCGCAU